rnacentral:antisense_RNA from 1 species
AAAGAUCCAUGGGAGAAGCAUGGUUUCCUGAGGUCGCACAAUCACUCACUGCUUCCCUUGGCUGGGAGUGGGGGUUCCUUUGUCUCUUUGUCGCUCCCAGGGGGGCUGUCGCCCCAUCCUGCUUUUCUUUGUUCUCUGUGGGUCGAGUUGUUUUCCUGAUCAGUCCCAAUGCAAGUACCUGGAUAUUUCAGUUGAAGAUGCUAUACUCACUUGCCUCUUUUGUUCAUCUGCCCCUUUGGUGCCAGUCUGCUGGAGUUUGCUGGAGGUCCACUCCUGACCCUGUUUGCCUGGGUAUCACCAGUGGAGGCUGCAGAGCAGCAAAGAUUGCUGCCUGUUCUUUCCUCUGGAAGCUUCGACCCAGUGGGGCACCUGCCAGAUGCCAGCCAGAGCUCUCCUGUAUCAGGUGUCUGUCGGUCCCAACUAGGAGGUGUCUCCCAGUCAGUAUACAAGGGGGUCAGGGGCCCACUUGAGGAGGCAGACUGACCCUUAGCAGAGCUCGAAUGCUAUACUGGGAAGUCCACUGCUGUCUUCAGAGCCAUCAGGCAGGGAUGUUUAAGUAUACUGUAAGCCCCUAACUGGGGCUGCUGCCUUUUUUACAGAGAUGCCCUGUCCAGAGAGGAGCAAUCUGGCAGUCUGGCCACAGCAGCCUUGCUGAGCUGCAGUGGGCUCUGCCCAGUUCGAACUUCCCAGCAGCUUUGUUUAUACUGUGGUCAUAAAACUGCCUACUCAAGUCUCAGCAAUAGCGGACACCUCUUCCACCACUAAGCUAAACCGUCCCAGGUGGAUCUCAGAUUGCUGCUGUGCUGGCAGUGAGAAUUUCAGGCCAGUGGAUCUUAGUUUCCUGGGCUCCAUGUGGGUGAGACUGGCAAAACUAGAACACUUGGCUCCCUGGCUUCAGCCCCUUUCCAGGGGAGUGAACGGUUCUGUCUUGCUGGCGUUCCAGGUGCCACUGGGGUAUGGGAAAAAAAAAAAAACUCCUACAGCUAGUUCAGUGUCUGCCCAACUGGCCGCCCAGUUUUGUGCUUGAAACCUAGGGCCCUGGUGGGGUAGUCACUGGAGGGAAUCUCCUGGUUUGCAGGUUGCGAAGACUGUGGGACAAGCACAGUAUCUGUGCUGGAGUUCCUCAGUCUCAGACCCUCAUGGUAUCCCUUGGGUAGGGGGGAAAAUUCACCGACCCCUUGCGCUUCCCAGGUGAGGUGAUGCCCCAUCCUGCUUCGGCUUGCCCUCCAUGGGCUGCACCCACUGUCCAACCAGUCCCAAUUAAAUGAAACGUGUGCCUUGGUUGGAGAUGCAGAAAUCACCCACCUUCUGCCUCCAUCUCACUGGGAGCUGCAGACUGGUGCUGUUCCUAUUCGGCCAUCUUGAAUCUCGCCUGUUCAUUUUUUCUUUCAGUGUAUUUUCCUCUCAGUUCAGGCUGGAAAAUUUCAAUUGCUCUGUCUUUGAGUUCACUGAUUCUUUCUUUUGUCAUCUUCAUUCUGUUAUUGAAUCCAUCAGUGAGUUUUCAUUUUGGUUAUUUUAUUUUCAGCUGUAAAAUUUCCAUUUUCUUCUUUCUUAUAUUUUAUAUUUGUUGCUAAGAUGUUCUAUUAAAAAAAUUUCAAAGUUAUUCAU